UACGUAGGGUGCGAGCGUUGUCCGGAAUUAUUGGGCGUAAAGGGCUCGUAGGCGGUUUGUCACGUCGGGAGUGAAAACUCGGGGCUUAACCCCGAGCCUGCUUCCGAUACGGGCAGACUAGAGGUAUGCAGGGGAGAACGGAAUUCCUGGUGUAGCGGUGAAAUGCGCAGAUAUCAGGAGGAACACCGGUGGCGAAGGCGGGUCUCUGGGCCGAUACUGACGCUGAGGAGCGAAAGUGUGGGAGCGAACAGG
rnacentral:rRNA from 1 species